UACGGAGGGUGCAAGCGUUAAUCGGAAUUACUGGGCGUAAAGCGCACGCAGGUGGCUGAGUCAGUCGGAUGUGAAAGCCCUGGGCUUAACCUGGGAAUUGCAUUCGAUACUACUCAGCUAGAGUAUGGGAGAGGGAAGUGGAAUUCCCGGUGUAGCGGUGAAAUGCGCAGAUAUCGGGAAGAACACCCGUGGCGAAGGCGGCAUCCUGGACCGACACUGACGCUGAGGAGCGAAAGCGUGGGGAGCGAACAGG
rnacentral:rRNA from 1 species